rnacentral:rRNA from 1 species
GCCAGACUCCUACGGGAGGCAGCAGUGGGGAAUAUUGCACAAUGGGGGAAACCCUGAUGCAGCAACGCCGCGUGAGUGAGGAAGUAUUUCGGUAUGUAAAGCUCUAUCAGCAGGGAAUAGAAAAGAAGGUACCUGAAAAGGAAGCCCCGGCUAACUACGUGCCAGCAGCCGCGGUAAUACGUAGGGGGCAAGCGUUAUCCGGAUUUACUGGGUGUAAAGGGAGCGUAGACGGAAAGGCAAGUCAGAAGUGAAAGCCCAAGGCUCAACCAUGGGACUGCUUUUGAAACUGUCAAACUAGAGUACGGGAGAGGCAGGCGGAAUUCCGUGUGUAGCGGUGAAAUGCGUAGAUAUACGGAGGAACACCAGUGGCGAAGGCGGCCUGCUGGACAUUAACUGACGCUGAGGCGCGAAAGCGUGGGGAGCAAACAGGAUUAGAUACCCGGGUAU